GGUUAAGCGACUAAGCGUACACGGUGGAUGCCCUGGCAGUCAGAGGCGAUGAAGGACGUGCUAAUCUGCGAAAAGCGUCGGUAAGGUGAUAUGAACCGUUAUAACCGGCGAUGUCCGAAUGGGGAAACCCAGUGCAAUUCGUUGCACUAUCGUUAACUGAAUACAUAGGUUAACGAGGCGAACCGGGGGAACUGAAACAUCUAAGUACCCCGAGGAAAAGAAAUCAACCGAGAUUCCCCCAGUAGCGGCGAGCGAACGGGGAGCAGCCCAGAGUCUGAAUCAGCUUGUGUGUUAGUGGAACGGUCUGGAAAGUCCGACGGUACAGGGUGAUAGUCCCGUACACCAAAAUGCACAGGCUGUGAACUCGAAGAGUAGGGCGGGACACGUGGUAUCCUGUCUGAAUAUGGGGGGACCAUCCUCCAAGGCUAAAUACUCCUGACUGACCGAUAGUGAACCAGUACCGUGAGGGAAAGGCGAAAAGAACCCCGGCGAGGGGAGUGAAAAAGAACCUGAAACCGUGUACGUACAAGCAGUGGGAGCACCUUCGGGUGUGACUGCGUACCUUUUGUAUAAUGGGUCAGCGACUUAUAUUCUGUAGCAAGGUUAACCGUAUAGGGGAGCCGCAGGGAAACCGAGUCUUAACUGGGCGUUAAGUUGCAGGGUAUAGACCCGAAACCCGGUGAUCUAGCCAUGGGCAGGUUGAAGGUUGGGUAACACUAACUGGAGGACCGAACCGACUAAUGUUGAAAAAUUAGCGGAUGACUUGUGGCUGGGGGUGAAAGGCCAAUCAAACCGGGAGAUAGCUGGUUCUCCCCGAAAGCUAUUUAGGUAGCGCCUCGUGAACUCAUCUUCGGGGGUAGAGCACUGUUUCGGCUAGGGGGUCAUCCCGACUUACCAACCCGAUGCAAACUACGAAUACCGAAGAAUGUUAUCACGGGAGACACACGGCGGGUGCUAACGUCCGUCGUGAAGAGGGAAACAACCCAGACCGCCAGCUAAGGUCCCAAAGUCAUGGUUAAGUGGGAAACGAUGUGGGAAGGCACAGACAGCCAGGAUGUUGGCUUAGAAGCAGCCAUCAUUUAAAGAAAGCGUAAUAGCUCACUGGUCGAGUCGGCCUGCGCGGAAGAUGUAACGGGGCUAAACCAUGCACCGAAGCUGCGGCAGCGACACUAUGUGUUGUUGGGUAGGGGAGCGUUCUGUAAGCCUGCGAAGGUGUGCUGUGAGGCAUGCUGGAGGUAUCAGAAGUGCGAAUGCUGACAUAAGUAACGAUAAAGCGGGUGAAAAGCCCGCUCGCCGGAAGACCAAGGGUUCCUGUCCAACGUUAAUCGGGGCAGGGUGAGUCGACCCCUAAGGCGAGGCCGAAAGGCGUAGUCGAUGGGAAACAGGUUAAUAUUCCUGUACUUGGUGUUACUGCGAAGGGGGGACGGAGAAGGCUAUGUUAGCCGGGCGACGGUUGUCCCGGUUUAAGCAUGUAGGCUGGUUAUCCAGGCAAAUCCGGAUAAUCAAGGCUGAGGUGUGAUGACGAGGCACUACGGUGCUGAAGUAACAAAUGCCCUGCUUCCAGGAAAAGCCUCUAAGCAUCAGGUAACAUCAAAUCGUACCCCAAACCGACACAGGUGGUCAGGUAGAGAAUACCAAGGCGCUUGAGAGAACUCGGGUGAAGGAACUAGGCAAAAUGGUGCCGUAACUUCGGGAGAAGGCACGCUGGUGUGUAGGUGAAGUCCCUGCGGAUGGAGCUGAGACCAGUCGAAGAUACCAGCUGGCUGCAACUGUUUAUUAAAAACACAGCACUGUGCAAACACGAAAGUGGACGUAUACGGUGUGACGCCUGCCCGGUGCCGGAAGGUUAAUUGAUGGGGUUAUCCGUAAGGAGAAGCUCUUGAUCGAAGCCCCGGUAAACGGCGGCCGUAACUAUAACGGUCCUAAGGUAGCGAAAUUCCUUGUCGGGUAAGUUCCGACCUGCACGAAUGGCGUAAUGAUGGCCAGGCUGUCUCCACCCGAGACUCAGUGAAAUUGAACUCGCUGUGAAGAUGCAGUGUACCCGCGGCAAGACGGAAAGACCCCGUGAACCUUUACUAUAGCUUGACACUGAACAUUGAGCCUUGAUGUGUAGGAUAGGUGGGAGGCUUUGAAGCGUGGACGCCAGUCUGCGUGGAGCCAACCUUGAAAUACCACCCUUUAAUGUUUGAUGUUCUAACGUUGGCCCCUGACCGGGGUUGCGGACAGUGUCUGGUGGGUAGUUUGACUGGGGCGGUCUCCUCCCAAAGCGUAACGGAGGAGCACGAAGGUUAGCUAAUCCUGGUCGGACAUCAGGAGGUUAGUGCAAUGGCAUAAGCUAGCUUGACUGCGAGCGUGACGGCGCGAGCAGGUGCGAAAGCAGGUCAUAGUGAUCCGGUGGUUCUGAAUGGAAGGGCCAUCGCUCAACGGAUAAAAGGUACUCCGGGGAUAACAGGCUGAUACCGCCCAAGAGUUCAUAUCGACGGCGGUGUUUGGCACCUCGAUGUCGGCUCAUCACAUCCUGGGGCUGAAGUAGGUCCCAAGGGUAUGGCUGUUCGCCAUUUAAAGUGGUACGCGAGCUGGGUUUAGAACGUCGUGAGACAGUUCGGUCCCUAUCUGCCGUGGGCGCUGGAGAAUUGAGGGGGGCUGCUCCUAGUACGAGAGGACCGGAGUGGACGCAUCACUGGUGUUCGGGUUGUCAUGCCAAUGGCACUGCCCGGUAGCUAAAUGCGGAAGAGAUAAGUGCUGAAAGCAUCUAAGCACGAAACUUGCCCCGAGAUGAGUUCUCCCUGAGACUAUAAGUCUCCUGAAGGAACGUUGAAGACGACGACGUUGAUAGGCCGGGUGUGUAAGCGCAGCGAUGCGUUGAGCUAACCGGUACUAAUGAACCGUGAGGCUUAACCUU
rnacentral:rRNA from 2 species